GAUGAACGCUAGCUACAGGCUUAACACAUGCAAGUCGAGGGACCGGCGCACGGGUGAGUAACACGUAUCCAACCUCCCCUUUACUCGGGGAUAGCCUUUCGAAAGAAAGAUUAAUACCCGAUAUAAAGGAUGGGGAUGCGUUCCAAUAGGUUGUUUGUGAGGAAACGGCCCACCAAGCCUUCGAUGGUUAGGGGUUCUGAGAGGAAGGUCCCCCACAUUGGAUCUUAGACACGGUCCAAACUCGGACUGGAGGCAGCAGUGGGGAGUAUUGGUCAGGGAGCGUUAGCCUGACCCAGCCGAGUAGCGUGAAGGAUGAAGGCUUAUGGGUCGUAAACUUCUUUUAUAUAAGAAUAUGUAUUAUAUGAAUAAGGAUCGGCUAACUCCGUGCCAGCAGCCGCGGUAAUUC
rnacentral:rRNA from 1 species